UACAAUCUGCGGUGUACGGAGUUCGGUAUAAAACGGGAUCCACGUUAUUAAUUCGGGAGCUCGUCAUUCGUGGCGAUAGGCAAGGUCUGUAUUUAUACGGAAAGACUGAUGCGUCAAGAUGGGGCACCCACCUGCUGAAAGCGGGUUCAUCUUUUUACCGAGGUGCGGCACAGGCGGGUUGUUU
rnacentral:other from 1 species